rnacentral:lncRNA from 1 species
GUGAGAUCUCCUGUCUGACUGCAGGUUGCAGUGUUGCCUUGUUCACCGGAUGUUCUGCUUGCUUGUCUGAUCUUGUAAUGGUAGAUGGAGUUGGAUUGUGGUCCUAGUGAACUUACUUGGAUGCCUGAUGUAACAUCUUCAGUGUUGUUCUUGUUGAACUUCCUCUAUGGAUUUGUUGAUGGAACAUAUUUCGUGUUGAACUUGUUAUUGUUAUGAUUGUAGUGUGUUCCCUGAAUGUUCUUUUGCUCAGAUUUCUUGUUUCGGUCUAAAUGCAUUAGGGAUUGAAAUUUUGUACCACUCGAGAUCAACUUAUGUUCCUUAAGAUUUCCUGCCAGUUUAAAAGGCACAGAGUUUAGCACUCAAGUUUAAGUUGCAGGUGGGAAACUUUUGGCGAAUAAUCCUCGCCAAAAUCAGAUCGUCCGAGACUAUUUCCCAGUUUAGGUUCAGGUAGAUGCGGAAAACAAGUUUUUCUCAGGCACGCAUUGCUAUGUGAAAACAAGUUCAGCAUUCGUCACGAAGCUUGUUCUAGUGCGAUUGCAAUGGGCACUGAAUUUUGUAUCACUCGAGAUCCCCAGCUCAUGUUUCUUUCAAGAAUCUUGAGUUUUUCUUUACUUGGUACGGAUCACAGGAACUUCUACACUAUGGUCACAGGGACUUUUACACUAUGAUCUUUUAAGAAUCUUGGACAAGAUCACAGGGAUUUUUACACUAUGAUCUUUAAAGAAUCUUGGACAAGAUCAUAGGGAUUUUUACACCAUGGUCAAUUUAGUCGCUCGAGAUCAGAGGUUCUUCUUAUAUAAGCAAUGGUCAAUUUAGUCAUCCGUGACCAGCUCAACUCCAGUGUUCUGCUGUGCAGUUCAGCACAAAGUCAUUUCAAUGGUCAGAUGUGGCUGGACAAUCCAAAAUCAUUUGUUUGUGACGACGUAAUAAUGCUCACUCCAAAGGGGAGACGUUCUUCAUUUCUUUUCAGAAAAAAGAAAUAUACGAAAGAAGAAUAAGUCCAUAGAGGAGAGUUGCCGGUCUCACUGGGCUCUUCGAAGCCGCUACAGCUUGCAGCAUCUAUAUAAGGCAGCACCAUAGGGUCCUAAUCUAUCACUUACAACAAGCUCGUCUGCCAAUUCACAAACCUAAAACCCUGCUUUCUACGCAAACCAGUCCUAGACAAGUGCUCCAAUGGCGUCCCAGCUGGUCGAGAGCCACCGUGCCGGGGCCGAGGUCAUCAAGGGGGGCGAAGUCUGCAAGAAGAAGUCUGUCGAGCUCCUUGAAGAGCUCGGCCUCCCUAAAGGCCUCUUUCCAAUGGACGACAUCGAGGAGAUCGGGUACAACCGCGAGAGCGGGUUCGUUUGGAUGCUUCAGAAGAAGAAGAGCGAGCACACCUUCAAGAAGAUUAACCAGACCGUCUCCUACGACAUCGAGGUGACCGCUUUUGUGGAGAAGGGCAAGAUCAAGAAGGUCACAGGGGUCAAGUUCGAGGACCUGUCUUUGGUCGAGGUCUAUGUGGAUGAGUCUUCUGCUGAUAAGGUCACCGUCAAGACUGACACCGGUCUGUCUGACACCCAUGAUGCGGUCGCGUUCGCUCUCGGAGAAUAGGGAGCUAAGUAGAAAUGGCACAAAAUAAAGUCAGUGAAUGGUUCGACACUAUGGUUCGCAUGUCAUGCAAAAGUAUCUUUCCAUUUUCUUGUAAUCUAAAGGCUGCUGCGUGAAUGUUGCUCCCUUUGGGCUGGUAAUCUUUCGACAGUGAAUUGAAUAAUUGCAUUUAUAGUUCUGUACCCCCUCCUCUAUCCCACAUCGAUGACUCUCAACUUUCAUCUCAGUGAAUGGUUUAGAAUCUUCAAAUCGAUGUGAAAAACAAGUUUUUUCUUAAGCACAUAUUUUUAUGUGAAAACAAGUCCUUCUCUCGAAUGUUGUUUUGUAGUAUUAGAAGAACACUGAGAAAAAGGCAAAGGAAAAAAAAUGGGACAAAAGCAGAAACCAGAGCAAACCUAAACUAGCCAAAAUCUAAGACUAGCAAAGAGAAUGACACAACCAAGACAGAGCAAAGUUCACACUGCUAUGGUUGAGGCUGCAUGAUCCAUAGAUUAUUUUCUCUUUCUAAGUUCAGGUUGAUGUGAAAACAAGUUGCUUUAAUGAUGCAUCAUUCGCCACGGUCUAGAGACUAUGGAGGCAGCUUGGACCGCGGCGACUAUGGUGGCUACUACCCAGGCCCGUAUGUGGGCAGGUGCAACCGGAGCAGCUGCACAGGGCCCCCAGAAUCUUGGGGCCCCAAUUUUUUAAAGUACUGCUACGUUAUUACUACUCAUCAGGUGUAUUAAUAAGAGACUAAGCAAGUCAUGGCCACACUUGCCCACGGCCCAGUCAUGUCACAGCCUCACCUUCACGGGAGUCAAAGCAGUCUGCAUGCGUUGCAAUCCUUCGUCUCCUCGGCUCGUCCCUCGAUUCUUCUCCAGUGGAUUCAUAAUUUUUUUGGAAACAGAGCCAUUGAUGGCUAUGAACUGCUGCUUCGUUUGGCUAUACGGUGCUACUACCUCAUAGGAGUACUUAUAAAUUGGGUGGAUUUGUAUUGAUUCCGCGUUCUCUCUUUCAAAGUCUCAUCCCUCAGAGCAGAUCAACCAGACUUUCUUUUCUUUCUCUUGGUUGAGGUGCAGAGCAAUCGGAGUCCUAUGUGCCAUCAUUUCUUCAUGGUGUGUAUUCCUCAACAACAACAAAACCGUUUGGGUUAUUUGUCCCUUUUUGUUUUGUACACCCCUGUUCUUAAGUUAAUUUGCUGCUCUUUCAUGAAUUUAUUCAUCCGGCUGGCAUAAUAAUAGUUCAAAGUAAUAAAGAUUUUCUUUUGGCCUGUAAAUGGGGCCUAAAAUGUGAUUACGCACCGGGGCCCGGAUUUCUGAGGUACGGCCCUGCUACUACCACCAUAGCCGGAGGAGCAGUGAGAGGAAUCGCAACUAUGACAGCCAUGGGAGCAGGCGGCAGCGACGCAGGUCUAUGACUAGGAGCCCGGUCAGGCAGGGCAGCGAGGAGAGGAGGGCGAAGAUUGAGCGGUGGAACCGUGAAAGGGAUACGGUGCAGGCGUGAGACCUCCGGUCUGACUGCAGGUUGCCUUGUUCACCGGAUGUUCUGCUUGCUUGUCUGAUCUUAUAAUGGUAGAUGGAGUUAGAUUGUGGUCCUAGCGAACUUACUCGGAUGCCUGAUGUAACAUCUUCAGUGUGGUUCUUGUUGAACCUCCUCUUUGGAUGUGUUGAUGGAACAUAUUUGGUUUUGAAUUUGUUAUUG